UCAUCUUUACAUCUCCAUAAGUUUAGUUAAAAUUAUGCAUAUACAGUAUUUCAGUAUGUUUUCUAACAGAGGAACGUUUAACUGCUCAUAGACUAAAGACAUUAUGCUAAGCUGUCACUGACAUCUUUAUUUAGAGCAAAUUAAUGGCAGAAACACACCACAAUAAACACAGACACACUCACACACAAACCUAUUAUUUAAGCAAACAUAUUUUUUAUUUUGUUAUAUGCACUUUUUUUUUGUAUAUAUAGUUUUCUUUUACAGUCCAGAAGAAAAUCUACGGAGGUGCAUAGUCAUGGUCAGAGGAGACUAUGAGAGACAUGUGCACGAAGGAGACAGAAGGGAGGGAAGGGCCGGUUCAGCAGGUGGAGGAUUUCACUACACACUCACUGGCACUGGUCAGAGAAGUACAAGCAUUGUGUUGAGCACAGAGACGCUCACCUCAAGCAUAGACAAAUGGUGCACGGCGUAUACAGAGAGGAGUCUGGUGUGGUGUGGCGUGGCGUGGCGCGGCACGGCACGGCACGGCGUGCUCACACCCUAAACUACACUCCUCUCGUCCUCCGUUCGACCCCAGAUGGGGGAGUCGCAGGCAGCAAGUGGAGGUUUUUAAAAACAUCUAUCCCACGUGUAUCCCGGUUACUCUGCAUUGGGACCCCGCUUCUGAUGCCGAGCGGAUCUGAAUGGAUCCACCUGCAAGUCGGGGGGGCUAAAUCCAUGCCAGAGUUGUGUGUUAUUAUGGGAUGUCCUUACUCUUCAAAGGUAGCUGGACAGUUCACACAGGGAAAAUGGUGUUUUUGCCGUGUUCAUCUGUGCUUGUUGUUCUGUGUUGGUCUGCCUAUGUGCAUUUGUUUUUAAAAACCAAGCCUAUAGAUUUGAGUAAAAGUGUCCUGUGCUUUUGAUAAUCAUCGUGUAAAACUGGUCAAAGCAUCCAUGUAUGCUUCAAAUGCCCACAGACCGCCCUCUUAGGGGCCCGAAAUAGCUUUGAGAUACCGGAGAUAUAUAUUACGUAAUGAGUUUUAAAACAGUACUGUACCAUCACAAAAGGGAACAGAGUUUCGAGUAUAUUAUAUUUUUUUUCUAGUGGAAAUGCAGUGUGUCUCACUGCAGGGGAAGAUCAUAUGUCCCUCUCUGGAAUGUUCUGGUGUAGUCUUGCGUAGCCAGAUGUAUGUCUGGAGACAACUGUGGUUAAAAGUGGCCUAAAUGUACGUAGGUUUGGAACAAUUACAGCAUUUGAACAUUUUGUAAACCAGCCCAGAGACCCAAAGGGGAGUCUUGGCCAGGACGCUAAAAGUACACGGACAUGCAGAAGAUAUGGAUGGGUCUUAGAGGGAUUACAGCAUUCGUUUUUGACACAUUUUUCGAGGCCACAGUUUCAGAGUUGUCUCCAGACGAUAGACAAUUGCCACAAAGUGCCGAGGCGUCCCCCCGGGACCCACAAGGCUAGCUAUGAGCUGACCUCACUGACUCUUGGAUUGGCAGUGUGUGCAGGAGCCGCUCGGGCAGUGAAAUCCUUUUAUGAGUAUCAAAUUUGAAUACACUUAAUAGGUCAUGGCUAAUGUUCUUCUAACCCAGAAGUGGCAGGUUAUCACCUUAGAGAGCCAAGGGCGUUUAGGUUUGCAUUUCAAACAAGUUUAGGUUUGCAUUUCAAACUCCACAGUAUGACACUGGAAAACCUGCUUGAAAUGGUAACAUGAACACACCUUGCUCGCUCCAAUAUGGCGUAUGAUUCAAUCUAAACUUGUAAAAUAUUUCAAAAGUGGCAGUAGUAUUAGUCAGAAUGACAUAUUGUCACUUUUUAUCAUGUACAUAAAAUGUUCUUUAGACUUUAGUUAGUGUUAAAAUCUUAAAAUUUACAGCAAAUUUGUUCAAAUUGCCCAGCGGUUUACAUUAUGCAGCAAAUCAUAGUAUUGUAAGCACAUUUGUCCCACAAUGCAUUGCAGUAAGGAUUUCAAAUGUCAAUUGCUGUCAAAAUAACCAUCUCUUAAAAUACCACACAAUGUUUGCCAUCGCCAGACAGUGAAGCCAUGAUAUUGUGUAGCCAGUGUUUUGAGACAUAAUAGACAAAUUCCCCCUUGAAACACAUUUCUGUGUUUAAAACUCUGAAUCAUAUGUCACUUCCCAAUGUGACAGUUGUAUAGACAGAUACUGAGACAGGUUACCAGUGACAUGACAUAUUUGACAUUAAAAAUGCUGUCUAUUGUGUAAGUGCCCAGAUUCAGAAGUUAAUACCAGUGCCUGUCCUGGAUGCAGAAACACGCAUGGUCUCCAGACAGUUACAGUAGCGUACUGACACAUACAGAGGGAACGAGAGAGAGAGAGGGAACGAGAGAGAGCGAGAGAGAGAGGGAGAGAGAGAGAGAGAGAGAGAGAGAGGGAGAGAGAGAGAGAGAUGGUCUCCAGACAGUCACAGUAGCGUACUGACACAGACAGAGGGAACGAGAGAGAGAGAGAGCGAGAGAGAGAGAGAGGGAGAGAGAGAGAGAGAGAGAGAGAGAGGGAGAGAGAGAUGGUCUCCAGACAGUCACAGUAGCGUACUGACACAGACAGAGGGAACGAGAGAGAGAGAGAGCGAGAGAGAGAGAGAGGGAGAGAGAGAGAGAGAGAGAGAGAGAGGGAGAGAGAGAUGGUCUCCAGACAGUCACAGUAGCGUACUGACACAGACAGAGGGAACGAGAGAGAGAGAGAGCGAGAGAGAGAGAGAGAGAGAGAGAGAGAGAGAGAGAGAGAGAUGGUCUCCAGACAGUCACAGUAGCGUACUGACACAGACAGAGGGAACGAGAGAGAGAGAGAGAGAGAGAGAGAGAGAGAGAGAGAGAGGGAGAGAGGGAGAGAGAGAGAGAGAGAAGGGGACAAUAAAGAGACAAUACAGAAAAGGAAACAAAUGACAGUGAGGAAAGGAGGAGAGAAAGAGAGACAUACAUAGAUAGAGAGAGUGAGAAAAAUAGAGUGAGGUGAAGGAGAGGAAAUAGAGAGGCAAAUUUAACGACAAUAACAACGAGGAAAUAAAUGAAGGGGAGGGGAGCGAAAUAGCGAUAGAGAAGAGAGAGAGAGAGAGAGAGAGAGAAGAGAAGAGAGAGAGAGAGAGAGAGAGAGGGGAAUGCUGGGACUGCAUUGCUGCAGCUGAAAUGGGCUGGGCUACUUCUGGUGCAGAGCUCCCCUCUAUCCAGGCACGAGCAGCCGAACCCAGAGAAAAUCAAUCCCAACUGACGGCAAUGCACUAGAUCAGACAGCAGGGGUCUGAAACAGGCUGGAGGUGUAGCAGAGAGAGAGAGAGGGGAAACAGAGAUGGAGCACACACACGCACACACACACACACACACACACACACACACACACACAUAGGAAACACUGGGGAGAACAGAGGCAAGAGGCAAGUGGGAGGACAUAUAGGGAAUAGGGGAGAGAGAGAGGAUGAGCCAACGUGUACAUUCAUUGUCCGAGCUCUUUCAGCCGGGAAGACGUGCUGGAUAAAGACUUUAGCAGAAGGUUUGAGUGUACCCAAAGUGCAAAUAGACCAGAAAUGAAGUAUAUAUGUAACAGAAGGCAAGUAAAUAUUGAAAUGAAAGAACAAACAAACAUAUUCUCCAUUCUAAGGCCAGUGUGAACAGAAAUGUCCUCUGAGUGCAUUGGCACAUAACUGUGUUAUACAGAUUCAAACAUUUCUGUUAGACAGAUUCAAACAGUAUUGCUUUUUUAUCCCAGCAACAGCCAGCUUGUUUGACCCUCAUUAUUGGUGAAAUCAUCAGCCUCCCUCGUUUGAGCUUUCCGAUGCCACAAGGCCCAUAAUGCCUUGCGUGCAUAGACUGAGAGCUGCAAUAUCCAUGAGUAUUGCAAUGGUAUCACAUAAAGAGGGUAUCACAUUUUUUUUCAUGAGAGUUUUACGCCACAAGCUAAAUUUGUAUGCAGGAUUUUAUAGUCAUUUGACGACUCAAUUUUGAUGUUAAUCGUGUCGGCCAAACAACAUUAUUGUUAACCUAAAAUGUAAGUGUCGUCUGCAUGUAUGUUUUUGUGUGGAUCUCUGUAUGUGUGUAUACGUAUGUGUUUGUGUUGAUCUCUGUAUGUGUGUGUGUGUGUGUGUGUGUGUGUGUGUGUGUGUGCACGCAUGUGUGGGUAUGAACACAAUAUCUCAUAAAGAUUCCUUACUCCAGAUCAAACAUAAACAUCAGUGCCGUCCACGGGCAGAUUGAUCAUUGAUCGAUAAGGCCAACGGGCAAACCCCCUAGCGGACCCCUUCUCAGUAGAUCUGAUUACAGACAUUGUGUAUUGCAACAUCAGUUAGUAAAAACCAUGAGAAUAAAAUAAGGUACUUAUUGCUCUGAUCAGAUUCUGAACACAAAAGGGCAAGCAGGACAGAGGUAACUCUUUGGAUUAUUUGCCAAUAAUGAUGAUAAUAAUAAUAAUAAUAAUAAUAAUAAUAAUAACAACAACAAAAGAAAAACAGUGAUACUGAGUCAAAACUACCUUGAAAUAAUUCCCAUAAUUCAUUUCAAGCACACGCCUGACCGUGGGAUUAUGGGACUGCGACUGGACUAAAAGCUUUUAAAAGCCUCCCAAGCCAAUCUUAGGAUAGCCCAAGGCCCUGAUUCUUGAAGGACAGUCAAGUGUAAAGGAAGUUUGUUUUAAAAGGUGCUCGCCAGGAUACGGAAGCACUCACAACGCCUAACAAAGCUCACCUUUCCAUACCUAACCUACCUAUAUCCACGAGAAAAGGACCUAUUUCACUGAACCGACUGUCACCACCUUCCAUUAAACACAGCAAACUCGGUUACUUUCUCUACGUCACACGUUUACAUUGUUUACAUAAAAAUAAAAUAAUCACAAAAAUAAUCUACACGGUUAAAGUGCCCAUAAGGAUCCUCUUCAAACCCCCGCAUCCAAGCAGGGAGUGCAGUGCAGAUGUUUGACGAGGUCAUUAUAAUAUUUACUUUCAUCUAAAUUUGCCAUUGAAAGCAACAUUCAUCGAUUAUAUUUUCCUGAACUUCCAUUACAAUUAGGCGUCAGACGUGAAAUUGAUACACAGAGGUAUAUUUGUCUUUGCCGAUGGCAAGUAAGGGUUUGAAAACUGGGUUUGGUUGUCAGACUGUUGUGGGGGAGAAGGAAACGAGUUUCCCUUUGCUGGGUUCAAAUAUUUCAAGAUAAAAGAUUCAUUAAAAUCAAGUGUUUGUGAUAAAAUCCUCUCUCUAUCUUAAUUUUUCCAAUACUGAUCUUGUUGAUUAAUAAAAUAAAUAAAAUGCAUGCCUCAUU
ensembl:lncRNA